GUUUGUUUCUGAACAUAUUCUGAAAUUGGAGCAAUGCAGAGAAGAUUAGCACUGCCCUGCGCAAGGACGACAUGAAAAUUCCUGAAGGCUUCCAAAAAAAU
rnacentral:snRNA from 1 species